GGCGAAAUGGCUCAGUGGUUAAGAGUGCCGACUGUUCUUCCGAAGGUCCUGAGUUCAAAUCCCAGCAACCACA
rnacentral:tRNA from 1 species